GUUUGGUUAAGUUAGAAAGGGCGCACGGUGGAUGCCUUGACACUAGGAGUCGAUGAAGGACGGGACUAACGCCGAUAUGCUUCGGGGAGCUGUAAGUAAGCUUUGAUCCGAAGAUUUCCGAAUGGGGAAACCCACCAUACGUAAUGGUAUGGUAUCCUUAUCUGAAUACAUAGGGUAAGGAAGACAGACCCAGGGAACUGAAACAUCUAAGUACCUGGAGGAAGAGAAAGCAAAUGCGAUUUCCUGAGUAGCGGCGAGCGAAACGGAACAUAGCCCAAACCAAGAGGCUUGCCUCUUGGGGUUGUAGGACAUUCUAUACGGAGUUACAAAGGAACGAGGUAGACGAAGCGACCUGGAAAGGUCCGUCGUAGAGGGUAACAACCCCGUAGUCGAAACUUCGUUCUCUCUUGAAUGUAUCCUGAGUACGGCGGAACACGUGAAAUUCCGUCGGAAUCUGGGAGGACCAUCUCCCAAGGCUAAAUACUCCCUAGUGAUCGAUAGUGAACCAGUACCGUGAGGGAAAGGUGAAAAGCACCCCGGAAGGGGAGUGAAAGAGAUCCUGAAACCGUGUGCCUACAAAUAGUCAGAGCCCGUUAACGGGUGAUGGCGUGCCUUUUGUAGAAUGAACCGGCGAGUUACGAUCCCGUGCGAGGUUAAGCUGAAGAGGCGGAGCCGCAGCGAAAGCGAGUCUGAAUAGGGCGUUUAGUACGUGGUCGUAGACCCGAAACCAGGUGAUCUACCCAUGUCCAGGGUGAAGUUCAGGUAACACUGAAUGGAGGCCCGAACCCACGCACGUUGAAAAGUGCGGGGAUGAGGUGUGGGUAGCGGAGAAAUUCCAAUCGAACCUGGAGAUAGCUGGUUCUCCCCGAAAUAGCUUUAGGGCUAGCCUUAAGUGUAAGAGUCUUGGAGGUAGAGCACUGAUUGGACUAGGGGUCCUCAUCGGAUUACCGAAUUCAGUCAAACUCCGAAUGCCAAUGACUUAUCCUUAGGAGUCAGACUGCGAGUGAUAAGAUCCGUAGUCAAAAGGGAAACAGCCCAGACCGCCAGCUAAGGUCCCAAAGUGUGUAUUAAGUGGAAAAGGAUGUGGAGUUGCUUAGACAACUAGGAUGUUGGCUUAGAAGCAGCCACCAUUUAAAGAGUGCGUAAUAGCUCACUAGUCGAGUGACUCUGCGCCGAAAAUGUACCGGGGCUAAAUACACCACCGAAGCUGCGGAUUGAUACCAAUGGUAUCAGUGGUAGGGGAGCGUUCUAAGGACAGUGAAGUCAGACCGGAAGGACUGGUGGAGUGCUUAGAAGUGAGAAUGCCGGUAUGAGUAGCGAAAGACGGGUGAGAAUCCCGUCCACCGAAUGCCUAAGGUUUCCUGAGGAAGGCUCGUCCGCUCAGGGUUAGUCAGGACCUAAGCCGAGGCCGACAGGCGUAGGCGAUGGACAACAGGUUGAUAUUCCUGUACCACCUCUUUAUCGUUUGAGCAAUGGAGGGACGCAGAAGGAUAGAAGAAGCGUGCGAUUGGUUGUGCACGUCCAAGCAGUUAGGCUGAUAAGUAGGCAAAUCCGCUUAUC
rnacentral:rRNA from 2 species